rnacentral:rRNA from 1 species
CAAAAACAUCGUUUACUUAACUAUAGUAGAUAGAAUCUGCCCAUUGUAAAUUUAUAAAAGGCCGCGGUAUCGCUGACCGUGCUAAGGUAGCAUAAUCAUUCGUCUCUUAAUAGAAGACUAGCAUAAAUGAUUUGACGGGAGGUAAACUGUCUCAGUGAUAUAUUAGAAUCUAACAUAAAGGUAAAAAGGCCUUUGGCACCAAGGGGACGAUCAGACCCUAAAAACUUUAUCUAACCUCCUCCUCACUCCUAACUCUUAGAGGAGUUAAAUAGAUUUUGCUGGGGCGGCAUUUUUUAACAUAAAAACAAAUCUACCCAAAACACCGUGUGUGGCUUCUAUAACACAUUCUUAAGACUAAAGACCAGUUACUUUAGGGAUAACAGCGCAAUCCCUUCUAGAGCCCCUAUCGACAAGCAGGAAAGCGACCUCGAUGUUGAAUUGAGAUCUCCAUAUUGAGCAGCCUCAAUAAAGGAUAGGACUGUUCGUCCUAAAACUCUCACGUGAUCUGAUU